GCUGAGUGGAGGAGCAGAGAGGGAGCGUGCGCCCAGGCACGCUUCGGGGGUGCGACGCAACUGCCGCCGGCCGGCGAUUUGCCGCCAACCGCCCUAACGGCCCAAACAAUGUUAAUAGCUUUCGGAGUCUGGCGGUGUGUUCAGGCGAUCCUCUUCCAGUGUUCCUUCUUCAUCGUGCUCGGAGGGGGAAAAAUGAGAUAGAAUCUCCCUAUGCAAGUCCAGCGUGGCCCUGAAGUCAUGAUCCUCCUGCCUCCACCUUCCAUGGGCUGGGAUUACAGGUGUGCAUCAUCAGAGCAACUUAAAUAUUUUUAAGUAACAUAUUCUUACAACUUAUAUUGCCACUGUUAAAGGGAGAAAUGAAAUAUAAGUGAUGCUUUCAAGUACACAAACUGUUGAAAUCCAGGCAUGUUUGAAAAGAAGCAACAUGGACACAGCUAAGAUUUUAUCCCAGAGCCACAGCAGUGUAAAGUCAGAUGGUCCGUACAUCACUCGCGUGACUUAGAGAAAAGAAGGAAGCAGAAAACUUUUGUAACCCGAGGCAAAGUUGCAUGUUUUCUUCAUAGUCCAUACAAUGUCCUAUAUGAAUGUUUUUAAGUAAUUUUACACAAAUCUUAACUUUUAAGAUGUAACAAUUGAAACACUGAGUUAAUGAAAUGCAAACUAAAUUUUAUAGCUAAAGAAAUAGAGUGGGGCUGGAGAGAUGGCUCAGAGGUUAAGAGCACCGAUUGCUCUUCAAGAGGUCCUGAGUUCAAUUCCCAGCACCCACAUCGUGGCUUACAACCAUCUGUAAUAAGAUCUGGCAACCUCUUCUGUGUACAUAAUAAAUAAAUAAAUCUUUAAAAAAAAAAGAUACACAUGACUAGGAAGAAAGCUAAGGAUUAAUUGGAUUUUAAAAAAUAGAGCAUUUCUAGUAAAUAUUUUCUCAAAUGAGACAAGAACUGUAAUGACUGAGACUGCUCCCUCAUUUUCUGCUUCUCCCUCUGAAAUAAAAGUCUAUUUGGGCAAUUGUA